AUGGACGGCGUGGUGGACGCCUACAAGGUGCCGUGCCUCUACAAGGGACACGGCUGCGCCAUGGACGGCAUCCCCUACCACUCGGCCGCCGACCACAAGGCCAGCUGCAAGCACGCGCCCUGCUACUGCUUCGACUGCCGCUUCGUGGGCUCGCCGGCCAAGCUCGUGCGCCACCUCGCCUCGCCGUCCGGCGCGCACGCGUGGCCCGUGGAGAAGAUCAGGUACGAGGUGCCCCAGCCGUUCGUCGUGCCGGCGUCGUCCGAGGAGGACCAGCGCCGCCUGCUGGUCACGGAGGACGGCCGCGUGUUCCUCCUGGCCGUGGGCGCCCGCAGGGACCUGGGCGGCCGCCGCCCCGUCACCGUAGUGUGCGUCAGGGGCAACGCCGACGCGGACGCGGACGCGAAGCCCCUGUACACGGGCGUGCUCUGGGUGGACGGCCCUCCGGCGCCCCCGCGCCAGCCGCUCGGGUGCAGCUUCAGGCUGAAGGCGACGGUGGCCAGCUGCUCCGUCCCCAAGGCGCUGCCGCUCCGACUCGCCGGCGCCGUCCGGCGCGCGCUUGGCGGCCGCGAGCCCGAUGAACAGCCGCGGGUCCUGAUUGGGGACCGGGGGCCUGAUUGCCUUUUCUGUAAAUAUCUAGGGGUGUGUGUGCUAAUUUUUUGCCAGUUAAGCUCCUUACAAUCUGGCCCCACUUGUCAGAAAGUGAUUAAACGGGCCAAAUCACCUAAUCAGUGCUUUUUGCAACGGCUUAACAAAUUUUUCGGUGUUUUCUGCAACGGAUUAACGAGUUGGUGGUUUCCUGCAAACCUAGCCGCAAAUGUGGUGGUUUCUUGCAAUUGA
rnacentral:rRNA from 1 species